rnacentral:rRNA from 1 species
AUUGAACGCUGGCGGCAGGCCUAACACAUGCAAGUCGAACGAGUGGCGGACGGGUGAGUAAUGUCUGGGCACCUGCCUGAUGUAGGGGGAUAACUACUGGAAACGGUAGCUAAUACCGCAUACCAUCGGAUGUGCCCAGCGGGGAUUAGCUAGUCGGUGGGGUAAAGGGUCACCUAGGCGACGAUCCCUAGCUGGUCUGCGAGGAUGACCAGCCACACUGGAACUGAGACACGGGCCAGACUCCUACGGGAGGCAGCAGUGGGGAAUCGUGCACAAUGGGCGCAAGCCUGAUGCAGCCACGCCGCGUGUAUGAAGAAGGCCUUCGGGUUGUAAAGGACUUUCAGCGGGGAGGCGUUACCCGCAGAAGAAGCACCGGCUAACUACGUGCCAGCAGCCGCGGUAAUAC